UACGUAGGGUGCAAGCGUUAAUCGGAAUUACUGGGCGUAAAGCGUGCGCAGGCGGUUGGAUAAGUUAGAUGUGAAAGCCCCGGGCUCAACCUGGGAAUUGCGUUGGAGACUGCAAGGCUUGAAUCUGGCAGAGGGGGGUAGAAUUCCACGUGUAGCAGUGAAAUGCGUAGAGAUGUGGAGGAACACCGAUGGCGAAGGCAGCCCCCUGGGUCAAGAUUGACGCUCAUGCACGAAAGCGUGGGGAGCAAACAGG
rnacentral:rRNA from 1 species